GUACCAUUUGACCGACUGAUUGCUGAGUGUCAGGAGACAGGCCUCUAAGAUGGGCAGGAAAACACUUUUUCUCCUCAGCUUGCAGCUCAUGUGUUUCCUAGCCUGGAAUAUUUUGCUAGCUAUUUGGCUCCACGGAUCUCCAGUCUCACUGGAGACCUGCAGAACAACUAUGAUUUAUUUGCAGCAACAGCAGCAAACAACUGCCCCAAAUGCCAAGGAGAAAAUAUUCCCAUCAACAGAAAAUCUGACCUCUGCUUGUCUGAGUGUGUUCCAUCUCCUCUCUUGGUUGAGACAAGGACUCUGCUCGAGCAGACACCUGCUCACAGCAAGGAUUGACUUAUUUAGCUGAAGGGACCCUGAUGUACUUACCAGGGUUUCCCCCUCCUUUGUGUUUGGUUGUUCCUUAAAUGGCAUAAGGUUUUUUGGUGGGGUUUUUUUGUUUGCUCAUUCAUUUUUUCAUUUUUAAAUAAUAAAGAAAAAGUCCAAUGUUCA
rnacentral:lncRNA from 1 species